ensembl:lncRNA
CAUUUAUAUGUUUAUUAUAUGUCUUUGUAUUUUCUGUAGGCUAACUAAACAUUCAAAUUGUCAAACAAUAAUUAUAAACCAAGUGGUUAUAUCUUCACCAUAUAAUAAAUUAACAACAUCUUAGGCCUAUUUUAGGCCUAUCUAGAUUAUGUUUACAAUUUUUCCCCCAAUAUUUUAGAAUAAUCAAACAUAAUGGAAUAAUAACACAUUCUGAAAUAACUUGUAAUUAGGAUACAAUAUUCCACCCAGGAAAUAGAUUUGUUUUUUUUUUAAAUUAAAAUCAUUAUUAGUAUUAUUUGUUAAAUAUCAGAUUGAUAACUUACAUUUUUGCAGUGAUAAUUUACAGAUCCAUCACACACACACACACACACACACACACACACACACACACACCCACACACACACAAUAUAUAUACAUACACAUUUAUUCUAAGAUCAUUUAUAUGUUUUUUUCCCCUUUAUUUUGCUUAAUUCAGAUUGUUCAGCACUCUUCCAUGUGGUGUUUGUCUGCAAUAUUGUGAUUUUACUCUUCAGUGGGGUCCUGAACAUAAUUUUAUGUGACAGACUGAGGAGAAGAAAAUGUGAACUGUGUGCAGCACAUCACAGGAGGCUUCACCUGGCUGUCCCUCCUCAACAAAACUCUGUGUCUGAUGAUCAAGAGAGUGAGGUGAACUAUACCAUGCUGCAAUUCCCUGAAGACAACACAAAAACAGAGAGCUCAGAGAAGAGCAGAAACGACACUGUCUAUUCCAGUCUUAAAUGCCAAAUCUCAAACAUCACUGAGGAAAACUAAAUCAGGAUUUUCAGUCUGUGGGUUUCCAAAGCUUCUCUUCUCUGUCCAGAGCUCCACAGUGCAGAUUUCCAGCAGGACACUGGAUCUCUCCCUCCGCAGACCAGGAUCAUCACCACUGACCCAGAACCAAUGACCAGCCAUAAAGCGCAGAUCAGUCCACACAUAAACUGUCUGGGAUGUUAUAGUAUAAUUUAUCACCUCUUCCAUAAUUGUCUCAGAACUUAGACUUGCCAGAUCAGUGUACUCUUUUCUGCAAUAGUCCAGGGCUUCAUCCCACGUCUUAUUCUGAUGAACCAAAACUGGGCUGAAGACCUUCAUACAGUAAAAAGAUAGAGUCUCAGAGCAUGGAAUGUUGUGCAGUUUAGAAGUGGAUAUUUUUAACCUGCCACAAUUUUCAGAAUAAUCAUCUGGUUGUUCGCUAUCCCAGUUGUCAAUUGGUUGCCUCUCACCUCCAGACCAAAUCCAUUUUUCUGGGUUGUUAGAACUUCUGUAUAGUCCAGCCAAUUUAAAAUGAUACACAGAAUCUGUAUAAACGCAAAACUUUUCUGCCUCUCCUUUAUUGAUGGUGGAAAGGUCGUCGUAGUAUUUUCUGCAGUAUUUCUGUUCAUCAUUCAGUCAUUUUUUUCCCCACAAAAUAAUGGAUUCUAUAGGCACUGAGGUACAGUCCAAAAAGACUCAAAAGUAAGAACACAUUGACUGCAGCCUUCAUUUCUGUAUGGACGAUUUACACAGUAAUGCCUAAGUGUGCACUCAACUACGAUGAUAUUAUGGCAUCUCUUAAAGAUUUUUAAUAAGAGACCAAUAAAAAAGCUGUAAGGGAACUGGCCA